rnacentral:rRNA from 1 species
GACGAACGCUGGCGGCGUGCUUAAUACAUGCCAGUCGAGCGGUAAGGCCCUGCUUUUGCGGGGUGCUCGAGUGGCGAACGGGUGAGUAUCACGUGAGUAACCUGUCCUUGACUUUGGGAUAAAUCCAGGAAACUGGGGCUCUUAUCGGAUAGGAGCUCCUGCUGCAUGGUGGGGGUUGGUAAGAUACGGCGGUUGGGGAUGGACGCGCGGCUUAUCAGCUUGUUGGUGGGGUAGUGGCGUACCAAGGCGUUGACGGGUUGCCGGACUGGGAGGGUGACCGGCCACAAUGGGACUGAGAUACGGCUCAGACGGCAACGGGGGGCAGCAGUGGGGGAUAGUGCAAGAAAGGCGGAAGCAGGAAGGAGCAACGCCGCGUGGGAAAUGACUGUCGGCGGGGAGUAAACCGGGUGCGCCUGGAAAGAAGCGUAAGUGACGGUAAUGGGUAAAGAAGCACCGGCUAACUACGUG